CUACGGAGGGUCCGAGCGUUAUCCGGAAUCAUUGGGUUUAAAGGGUCCGUAGGCGGGAAUCUAAGUCGGUGGUGAAAUCUUGCAGCUCAACUGUAAAAUUGCCAUUGAUACUGGAUUUCUUGAAUUAGUGUGAAGUGGUUAGAAUGUGUAGUGUAGCGGUGAAAUGCAUAGAUAUUACACAGAAUACCAAUUGCGAAGGCAGAUCACUAACACUAUAUUGACGCUAAGGGACGAAAGCGUGGGGAGCGAACAGGAUUAGAUACCCCGGUAGUCC
rnacentral:rRNA from 1 species